rnacentral:tRNA from 1 species
GGGCGCGUAGCUCAGUGGGGGAGCGCUACCUUCACACGGUAGAGGCCGCAGGUUCGAAACCUGCCGCGCCCACCA